rfam:Salmo salar isolate Sally breed double haploid chromosome ssa28, whole genome shotgun sequence.
UCUAUAUGCUCCUAUAAGUCGCUCUGGAUAAGAGCGUCUGCUAAAUGACUAAAA